ACUUGAAUUUGGGUUUUUAACUUAGAUUUGGGUGGCGGACGGGUGAGUAACGCGUAAAGAACUUGCCUCACAGCUAGGGACAACAUUUAGAAAUGAAUGCUAAUACCUGAUAUUAUGAUUUUAAGGCAUCUUAGAAUUAUGAAAGCUAUAUGCGCUGUGAGAGAGCUUUGCGUCCCAUUAGCUAGUUGGAGAGGUAACAGCUCACCAAGGCGAUGAUGGGUAGCCGGCCUGAGAGGGUGAACGGCCACAAGGGGACUGAGACACGGCCCUUACUCCUACGGGAGGCAGCAGUGGGGAAUAUUGGACAAUGGACCGAGAGUCUGAUCCAGCAAUUCUGUGUGCACGAUGAAGUUUUUCGGAAUGUAAAGUGCUUUCAGUUGGGAAGAAAAAAUGACGGUACCAACAGAAGAAGUGACGGCUAAAUACGUGCCAGCAGCCGCGGUAAUACGUAUGUCACGAGCGUUAUCCGGAUUUAUUGGGCGUAAAGCGCGUCUAGGUGGUUAUGUAAGUCUGAUGUGAAAAUGCAGGGCUCAACUCUGUAUUGCGUUGGAAACUGUAUAACUAGAGUACUGGAGAGGUAAGCGGAACUACAAGUGUAGAGGUGAAAUUCGUAGAUAUUUGUAGGAAUGCC
rnacentral:rRNA from 1 species